GCGCAUUAGCUAGUUGGUGAGGUAACGGCUCACCAAGGCGACGAUGCGUAGCCGACCUGAGAGGGUGAUCGGCCACACUGGGACUGAGACACGGCCCAGACUCUACGGGAGGCAGCAGUAGGGAAUCUUCCGCAAUGGACGAAAGUCUGACGGAGCAACGCCCCGUGAACGAUGAAGGUCUUCGGAUCGUAAAGUUCUGUUGUUAGGGAAGAACAAGUACCGUGCGAAUAGCGGUACCUUGACGGUACCUAACGAGGAAGCCCCGGCUAACUACGUGCCAGCAGCCGCGGUAAUACGUAGGGCAAGCGUUGUCCGGAAUUAUUGGGCGUAAAGCGCGCGCAGGCGGUUCCUUAAGUCUGAUGUGAAAGCCCACGGCUCAACCGUGGAGGGUCAUUGGAAACUGGGGAACUUGAGGACAGAAGAGGAGAGUGGAAUUCCACGUGUAGCGGUGUAAUGCGUAGAUAUGUGGAGGAACACCAGUGGCGAAGGCGACUCUCUGGUCUGUUUCUGACGCUGAGGUGCGAAAGCGUGGGUAGCAAACAGGAUUAGAUACCCUGG
rnacentral:rRNA from 1 species